GAAGCUUGCUUCCUAUGAAAUCGAAUGGCAUUUUGGGUGAGUAACGCGUAAACAACCUGCCCUUCGGAUGGGGAUAACAGCCGGAAACGGCUGCUAAUACCGAAUACGAUCUUUUCGUCGCAUGACGAAAAGAAGAAAGGAUGGCCUCUAUACAAAGCUAUCGCCGAAGGAGGGGUUUGCGUCUGAUUAGCUGGUUGGAGGGGUAACGGCCCAACAAGGCGAUGAUCAGUAGCCGGUCUGAGAGGAUGAACGGCCACAUUGGGACUGAGACACGGCCCAGACUCCUACGGGAGGCAGCAGUGGGGAAUCUUCCGCAAUGGACGAAAGUCUGACGGAGCAACGCCGCGUGAGUGAAGAAGGUCUUCGGAUUGUAAAGCUCUGUUAUACGGGACGAAAAAGACGGAUGCCAACAGUAUCCGUCCGUGACGGUACCGUAAGAGAAAGCCACGGCUAACUACGUGCCAGCAGCCGCGGUAAUACGUAGGUGGCAAGCGUUGUCCGGAAUUAUUGGGCGUAAAGGGCGCGCAGGCGGUUCGGUAAGUCUGUCUUAAAAGUGCGGGGCUUAACCCCGUGAGGGGACGGAAACUGUCGAACUUGAGUGUCGGAGAGGAAAGCGGAAUUCCUAGUGUAGCGGUGAAAUGC
rnacentral:rRNA from 1 species